AGGAAUCUGCCUAUUAGUGGGGGACAACAUUUCGAAAGGAAUGCUAAUACCGCAUACGUCCUACGGGAGAAAGCAGGGGAUCUUCGGACCUUGCGCUAAUAGAUGAGCCUAAGUCGGAUUAGCUAGUUGGUGGGGUAAAGGCCUACCAAGGCGACGAUCUGUAGCGGGUCUGAGAGGAUGAUCCGCCGCACUGGGACUGAGACACGGCCCAGACUCCUACGGGAGGCAGCAGUGGGGAAUAUUGGACAAUGGGCGGAAGCCUGAUCCAGCCAUGCCGCGUGUGUGAAGAAGGCCUUAUGGUUGUAAAGCACUUUAAGCGAGGAGGAGGCUACUUUAGUUAAUACCAAGAGAUAGUGGACGUUACUCGCAGAAUAAGCACCGGCUAACUCUGUGCCAGCAGCCGCGGUAAUACAGAGGGUGCAAGCGUUAAUCGGAUUUACUGGGCGUAAAGCGCGCGUAGGCGGCUAAUUAAGUCAAAUGUGGAAUCCCCGAGCUUAACUUGGGAAUUGCAUUCGAUACUGGUUAGCUAGAGUGUGGGAGAGGAUGGUAGAAUUCCAGGU
rnacentral:rRNA from 1 species